rnacentral:lncRNA from 10 species
CAUACAGGUGUGAGCCACUGCACCCAGCCAGGCAGCUUUUUAUUAGACUUUCACUAGGUCCUUGUAGGUGGAACCUUAGUGGUCACAGUGGGCCAGGAGGGUUUGGCUAGUUUUGGCCUUUGUAGCCAUCUUUGAAUUACACUAUUAGUAGAUCAGUCUGGUCUCUAAAAGGAAAAAGACCACAGUCAUUAUUGGAGUUUGACUAUUCCGUUUAAAAUGUAGCUUUUAAGUGAGGUACAUCAUAAAGGAUCUACUGGCUGGGCACGGUGGCUCACGCCUGUAAGCCCAGCACUUUGGGAGGCCGAGACGGGCAGAUCACUUGAGGCCAGGAGUUUGAGACCAGCCUGGGCAACAUGGUGAAACCCCAUCUCUACUAAAAAUACAAAAAUUAGCUGGGCAUGGUGGUACGUGCCUGUAAUCCCAGCUACUCAGGAGGCUGAGGCAGGACAAUCACUUGAACCCGGGAGGCGGAGGUUUCAGUGAGCCAAGAUCACUCCAUUGCAUUCCAGCCUGAGUGACAGAGCAAGACUCUGUUUAAAAAAGACAACGAAAACCGAAAAACAAAGAACAGGUGGAGUCUACUGACUUGCAUGAGUCAGGUAAUUCAUUGACCGGGGCUGGUCAAAAAGAUGGGUUGAUCCUUACUGUGGAAGCUCUCAGCUGCCCUGCAAUACUUUGGAAAUAAACCAGGCAAAACACUGCUCAGUGUGCUGCACUCCAGACACAAACAGGAAGCUGCUCUUUCUCUGCUUCCCUCCCCCACAAUCAGACUCUUGUAACUCUCUUUUCUUCUUUUUCUAAAAUGAAUCUGGGAGUUUCCUUUAGCCCCUGUUUUGUGGUCGCCUCCCAUACACGUUUUAUCUGUCCGUGGCAUUUUCUUUUAUUUAUUGAAAGCACCGUGUCUUAGAUCAAGUCUUGAGAAACAGAACCUGAGACAAACAUGAAUGUGGUUAAUUGAACGAGCGCUGUGCAGGAAAAGCUGUACUGGAGAGAGGUAAGCGGACAGAUACGGGGAAGAGCUGGGCCCAGCAAAGAUGAGGUCUCAAGUAAAGCUUAUGUUUGGCUUAAUCCACCGGGGACGGUUCUGGAACAUAAGCCACACCGCAGAGCUGUGAUGUCACACCUUGAGGCGAGGGCCUUGCCUCCUGGUAUCAGUCAGUCCUGGCUGUGGGGAGCAAGGUGGCUCCACUCAGUGCAAGGCCAUCCUGGGCAAGGGGCAGCCCCCCUCACCGCAGUGGCCUGGCAGUGGGGCCCUGGGUCCGGCACAGCUCCUCCUUCGCACAGUGCUGUCUGCUCGCCCGGUGUCUUUCAUGCCGUUUCCCACCAACUUCCCUCCUCUGCCUCCUGCUCUGCAUUGCACAGUGCAGCGAGGUUGCCAAUUCCAUAGUUGUAGCGGCUGUGGGGGAAGGGGCAGGCGGGACAGGGGAGGCAGCCAUCUAACUUUUGUCCUGACUCACGCAGGCCUGGCCUGGUGUUCAGAACACAAAUGUGAAAAAUCAGACCGGGAAGAUCACGGGAGGCAGGAAGCAUCUGGUUUGCAGGUCAUUCUAACAUAGCCAGGAUUGAGAAGUACCGUUCUAAGCAAAUAUUACAAAUAUGUCUUGCUUCCACACCCAUGGCUAUGUUUUGUUUGUUUGUUUGUUUUUGAGAAGGAGUCUCACUCUGUCACCCAGGCUGGAGUGCAGUGGCGUGAUCUCAGCUGACUGCAAUCUCCACCCAAGUUCAAGAGAUUCUUCUGCCUCAGCCUCCCACGUAGCUGGGACUACAGAGCAUACCAUAGCAGCUUGUGCCUGAGACCUCGACAAAUAUCUGGGGGAUAGAUUGGCUUGCAGAGCACAUUCUGCCUAUAGAAAUGAGUUAGCAAGUUUAGUCAGCCAUUGUAGAUUUCAAAGGGUGAGAAGCCUAGCCAGAGGUUAUAAUAUAGCAUGAUAUCCUCCUGGAAAUGGAAUUCUUCACUUGCGAUGCAUUUUAGGAGCCGCUGCUCUGUGUGAGCCACUCUGCUAGGUCCCAGCAUGCAUGAUAUUAUUCUACACAAAGAAUAAUAUCAGAGCUCACAGCCUAUGCAGGAAGUAAGCAAUUAGUUACAGCGUGAUGUGUACUGCAACCCAGGUAAGUACACAGUGUCAUGGAUGCUUCCAGGAGGAAGUCAUAGUCUGACCAGGAAGUUUGGGAAUACUUCUCAUAGGAAGCAACAAGCUACCUGGAAAGAUCUAGAAAGAUGAACAGUACCAGUGUAUUGAUUAGAAAUGCGUUCAGCAGCAAGUCAUAGAACACAUGACUAGUAAGGUUUAAACAAAUAGAAGGUUAUUUUCUCAUAUAAUAAGCCCAGAGGUAGGCACUAAAGGUGGUACAUUGGCUCAGUGGUGUUGGGACUAAGGUUUCUAAAAUUCUCUUGUCCUCUAAGACAUGGCUGCAGGUUGGCUGCAGCAGCUCCAGGCAUCGUGUCCACACUGAAAGGAGAAAGGGGGAGGCCAGCUAUGAUUUCCCCUUUUAUCAGGAAAGCAGAAACCUUCCUGUGGAUUUCUGCUUAUAUCCCACUAGCCAGAACUGGGUCAUGUGGCUAUCCUUAGCAGCAAGGGAGCCAGGAAAGAGAGGAUUUCACUUCUCCAGCUUCUUCUGUAUAUGGGAGGGCAGGUAGGUGAAGGGGGCUAGACUGAAUCCUGUGUGAGCCAACUAGCAGGCAGAACAUUUUGCAUAGAACUGCAUUUGCAAAAACAUGGAGCUGUGAAAGUGUGUGGAACAUUUACAGGCUAUUUAUUUAUUUAUUUAUUUAGAGACAGAUUCUUGCUUUGUCGCCCAGGCUAGAGUGCAGUGACACGAUCUUGGCUCACUGCAACCUCUGCUUCCUGGGUUCAAGCAAUUCUCCUGCCUCAGCAUCCCCAGUAGCUGGGAUUACAGGUGCCUGCCACCAUGCCUGGCUAAUUUUUGUAUUUUUAGUAGAGACGGGGUUUCACCAUGUUGGCCAGGCUGAUCUUGAACUCCUGACCUCAAGUGAUCCACCCGCCUCAGCCUCCCAAAGUGCUGGGAUUACAGGCGUGAGCCACCGCCCCCAGCCUACAAUCAAAAAAUUUAAUAUCAUCAAAUUACAGGGCAUGUGGCAGAGAAGUGUGGGCAGACAAGACACAGAGAAGUGGAGAUGAGACUCUUCAGACCCUUGAAUGACAUGUUGAAGAGCUUGGAAUUUUCUUAUAGAACGUAGGUAAUCAAUAGAGAGGUUUCAUCCGAGGAAUGAUAAAAAUCCAUUUGGGAAACAGAGGCGGUGUGGAGGAUGGGUCAAGAGAGAAUCAGAAGGCAGAUGAUUUACAGCAAUCCAGGCCAGAUAUCAGGAGGGCCUACUCUAAGAUUGCUUUUAGCAUAGCUACUGGGGAAGAGUCGGGCAGGAGAGCCCAGAGGCCCCGCAUGUGAUGGAAACAGCUGCCCAAACUGCAUCUUCAGGUAAAUAUGGCAGACCAUAGUUCCCCCUUCAUAAAGGCCUCUUGGGCGUGUUUCCUGGAAGGAAGAGGUGGGAGAUGUCGCCAUGCUCAGCACAUACGUGAGGUGUUGCAUUAGUCUCCUGGGGCUGCCGUAACAAAGUACCACAAAGCAGAUGGAAACAACAUGCAUUUUUCCCCCCACAGUUCUGGAAGGUGGAAGGCCAGGAUCAGGUGUCAGGAGGGUUGGUUUUUUCUGGGGGUUCUGAGAGAAUCUGAGGGGAAUUCCAUGGCUUUCUCCCAGCUUCUGGUAGUUGCUGGCAAUCCCUGGUGUUCCUGGGCCUGUAGACACGUCACCCCCAUCUCCGCCUCUGUUUUCAUGUGGCAUCCUCCCCGGUGCGUGUCUGUGUGCCCCAACCCCCUUGUCUUAUGAGGCCCACUCUAAUCCAACAGGACCUCGUCUUUACAUAAUCAGAUCUGCUAAGAUCCUGUUUCCAAAUAAGGCCAUGUUCACAGAUACCUAGGGUUAGGACUUGGACAUAUCUUUUGGGGGGACCCGAUUCAACUCACAACAGGUGUUUGAGGGCAGCUCUAGUUGAGAGUGUCAGAGAACCUCUGGCUUAAAGGAGGAACAGGGAGUCUAUCUGCUUGCAAUGUCUGAAGUAGAGUGGAGUGGCUUUACUGUCCUUGGUAGAGAGCAUGUCCUGCUUCAUUCUCAGGAAGGAUCUCACUGUGAGGUGGCUACGAUUACUCUCUGCCCACCCUGGUUGCAUCUGGCUUACAGAAGACAAUCCCAGAAGAAACAGUCUCCCCCAAAGUCCGCAGCAACCCUUCCACUAGGAGUCUACUCCUGCUUACACAAGGCCCAUGCUCACGCCUCACCCCACUGCUGUGUCCAGGGCUUCGUGGUAUCCUGAUGGGCUAGCGUGGGUCACACUCCCACCCUUUGAGCCAUGGGCCCACCUAGUCCAAAUCAUAACAACUGAACAGGAUGAUCACAGGUUGUGGAGAUGAAUCUGCCAAAGUGAUGCUAGGCAGUGCGCUUUCUUUUUUAUUUUUAAAAUAUUUUUUGCAUGUAUGUAUGUAUGUGAGACAGUCUCGCUCUGUCGUCCAGGCUGGAGUGCAGUGGCAAGAUCUCGGCUCACUGCAACCUCUGCCUCCUGGGUUCAAGCAGUUCUCCUGCCUCAGUCCCCCGAGCUGUGAUUACAGGCAUGUGCCACCACACCCGGGUAAUUUUUGUAUUUUUGUUAGAGAUGAGAAUUCACCAUGUUGGCCAUGCUGGUCUCCUGACUUCAAGUGAUCCGCCUGCCUCAGCCUCCCAAAGUGCUGGGAUUACAGGCGUGAGCCACCAUGUGCAGCCAGUAGUGCUCUUUCUUUACCUCUGCCCAAAUGAGGACAAGGAGAUGAAGCGUGGCUGAAAGCAUCAGCCUCUUCCCAGCUGUCCUGAUUGCAUGGGCCGCUUGUCCACUGGACAGGUACUUUUCCUGCCGGGCCUGCUCGUGUGGUUUGGACAGAUGCCCAACUGUCAGGCUCACUCUGUUCUGUUCAGGGAGCUGGCAUUUGCUCCAGUUUCCUCACCUGCCCACAGGGCAGGUGUGUGUCUGUGCGCCCCAACCCCCUUGUCUUAUGAGGCCCACUCUAAUCCAAAAGGACCUCAUCUUUACAUAAUCAGAUCUGCUACGAUACUAUUUCCAAAUAAGGCCAUGUUCACAGAUAUAUGAAUGGUAAGAGCCAGUGGGCCAGGUUGCCCAUGUGAGGGAGCCGGUCUCCGCACCUUGAAUUUCUCUACUGUUCUGGCCUCCGGGGCCAUGACAUUGAGGAUGGCUGGCCACUGGGCAUUGCUCCUUGCACCAUUUUCUCUGGGACUCCCUGAUACAUGUGAGGUUCUUCUUUCUCAGGCCUCUUUGAGGUGCAGGGACCCCCCCGCCCCCAUUGCCUAGUACUCCAAACUGGCCUAGGUCUACCUCUCCCAGCCCAAAUGUCCUGAGGUCCGUGACUGGAUUAUGACUUCAUAAACACCCUUCCCCCACCCUCACCACCACCACUUCCAGCAUCUGAGCUGGAAGACUGCCCGUGUCCUUCCAAUCCACUUCCCUUCCCUGUUGUUCAUCCUCACAUUUCUCUAACCACAGGCCAGCAGAGCUAGAAAAAACCCUAGGACAACUAGUCCAGCAACGGCGAAACAUUCAUUUUAACCUUAGUUCACAUGGUGCAGCCGCUACAGAAAACGGUAUGCGAGUUCCUCAAAAAAUGAAACAUAUGAUCCAGCAGUUUCACUUCUGGGUUUCUGGGUAUAUUCCCAAAAAAACUGAAAGCAGAAACUUAAAUAGCUGUUUGUACACCCACGCUUAUAGCAGCAUUAGUCACAAUAGCCAAAAGGUAGAAGAAGCCCAAGUGUAUAUCAACAGAUGCAUGGAGAAACAAAUGUGUAUACAUACAAUGGGUUAUUAUUCAGCUAUAAAAAAGGAAUGAGGCCAGGAUCAGUGGCUCACACCUGUUAUCCCAGCAUUUUGGGAGGCCAAGGUGGGCGGAUAACCUGAGGUCAGGAGUUCAAUACCGGCCUGGCCAACUUGGUGAAACCCCCGUCUCUACAAAAAUGCAAAAAUUAGCCGGGCAUGAUGGCAGGUACCUGUAAUUCCAGCUACUUGGGAGGCUGAGGCAGAAGAAUUGCUUGAACCACGGAGGCGGAGGUUGCAGUGAGCUGAGAUCGCACCAUUGCACUCCAGCCUGGUUGACAGAGCGAGACUCUGUCUCAAAAAAAAAAAAAAAAGGAAUGAAAUUCAGAUACAUGCUACAACAUGGAUCAACCUUGAAGACAUCAUACUAAGUAAAAUAAGCCAGUCACAAAAGGAUAAGCAGUAUAUGAUUCCACUUAUAUGAGGUACCUAAAGUAGUCUAAUUCAAAGACAGAAAGUAUAAUAGUGAUUACCACGGGUUGGAGGGAAGGAGAAGGGGAGUUAUUGUUUAAUCAUAUAGAGUUUGGGAAGAUGAAAAAGUCCUGGAGAUGGACAGUGGUGAUGGUUGUACAAUAAUGUGGAUGUACUUAAUGCCACUGAACGGCACACUUAAAAUGGUUAACAUGGUAAAUUUUAUGUUAUGCAUAUUUUACAACAAUAAAC